rnacentral:rRNA from 1 species
AUUGAACGCUGGCGGCAGGCUUAACACAUGCAAGUCGAACGAGUGGCGGACGGGUGAGUAAUGCUUGGGAAUCUGGCUUAUGGAGGGGGAUAACGACGGGAAACUGUCGCUAAUACCGCGUACCCUAGGAUGAGCCCAAGUGGGAGUAGGUAGCUGGUGGGGUAAUGGCCUACCAAGCCGACGAUCUCUAGCUGGUCUGAGAGGAUGACGAGGCACACCGGGACUGAGUAACGGCGACGACUCGUACGGUCGGCGGCCAGGUGGCAUAUGGCGCAGUGGCGGCAGCCUGAAGAAUGGAUGGCGCGUGAAGUAAGAAGUCCUUAAGUUUUCAUAGCAUAUAUGGUGACGAGGCGUUAGUUUCUGAAGAAGCCCCGGCUAACUCCGAGCCAGCAGCCGCGGUAAUUC